GAGCUCAGUUGGUUAGAGCGUGGUUCUGGUAACGCCAAGGUUGCAGGUUCAAUCCCUGUAUGGGACA